GUCUGCAGCCAUGCUACCUUGAACAAGCCGAUCCCGUCUGAUCUUGGAAACUAAGCAGGGUCUGGCCUGGUUAGUACUUGGAUGGGAGACCACCUAGGAAGACCAGGUGCUGUAGGCA
rfam:Pteropus alecto contig70921, whole genome shotgun sequence.